ensembl:snRNA U6 U6 spliceosomal RNA
GUGCUCACUUUGUCAGCACAAAUAUUAAAGCUGGAGCAAUACAGAGAUUUCCAUGACCCCUGUGCAAGGAUGACAUGCAAAUUUGUGAAGCAUUCCAUAUUUUU